rnacentral:lncRNA from 1 species
AUCAAACACUCGCCUCUUAUAACUCACACUACCAGUCCCAGAGCAGAUUAAGAGAGAAAAACAUUAGCUGAGUUGCACGUGAUCAAGAUACAAAUAUAACAUAUCACAUCUAGAUGUCCUAGAGUUGUCAACGGUAUGCAACCACCCUAAAGAUGUAUUAUCCUUCACAUUCUCGAAUAAUUCUACAUGAUGCACAACUCGAGAGUAAACAACUUCAAAUAACAAAUCAUUAUGUCAUUGCAUAAGCUCAUAUAAGACGACAAAUAGCAUGGUGUUACGAAAUAUACCCAAUGCAUUGUUCAAGCUGACAUAAAGAUUACUCUUAUACUUCGGAAAUAGGAGCAUUCGAAUAUGGUUUAUAGGUAUUUACCAGCAAGAAGUAAUCAUCUUUAAUCAUCUAGAAUAUAAUACAAGCGACUAAAAUAUGCAGGAACGUCCAGGAAUUAAAGAAAACAUUUAGGCCGGCUCGAAUACAGAAAUGAGUAAAUGCUCAAGUAUUAGAACAGUAUAUAAAUCACUUAACAUGACACCUCUUUUAGGGAAGGAAAACGGAACUACGAGUUGACGUUGGAUUUCACCACCAUCGGAGAUGCGUUGUAGUCAGCUUCAAAACUUCGAUUAGCAGACCAAUUUUUGGAAACAAAAUUUGCACUAAGAAGAACGAUUGAAUUUUUGCUCGCAAUUCUUCCCUUCCUCUUUUCCCUCUCUCAGUUUUUUCACCCUUAGAAAUUUCCCUGAAAAAUGUCUCAACCCACAGCUUUCCACAACCCCAAUUUUUGAAUCAAAAAAAAUAUCCAAAAAACAGUGACCCCAGAGAAAAUUUCCUCCCAUACAGGUCCUAAAACCUUCCUUUUUAUAGAGAAUGAACUAGGGUUUCUAUAGGGGACAAAAACGAGGAUAACUUUGGUAUUUUUCAAAAGGGAAUUCAAAAUUUGAACUCUCGAUAAGGUUAUUUCCCACACCAACUUGUACCAAAUUUGGAGUUUUCUAAAUAAUUUGUAAAAUUGAGAAUAAUGAGAAAAAUCAAAUCCCCCCUCCCACUAAUCAAAAUUGCCCUAAUAUGUACCAAAAUUGUACUGUAUCGAUUAUUCUGAGAUUUGCGGAGUUGAGAUAUUAGGGGUGACACCUAGCUUGUUUCCAGAAGGUUCUAGAGUGAUUUUGUUUCAAACAUCAUGCUAAUCACUCGAGAAGGUAUGGAUUUGAGUGAAGAGGAAGGUGUUUGGACGAGAACCAGCUGGUUUGAGUUUUCUUGGUCGAUUUUGGAUGAAAUCAGGUUGGGUAAUUAUUGUUGAUACAUAUGUUGCUGUUAUUGAUAGGUUAUAGUCGGGUUGAGGUCGGGUCGGCGUCAGGAGGCUGGGUUCACCGGAUUUUUGGUUGGGGGGUUAUCGAAUUUGGGUAGUUGAUGGGUUGGAAUGUAUUGAGAUCGUUGGUGUUGUUUUG